ensembl:lncRNA novel transcript
AGCUCAACCCCUGUGUCCUGCCCAAUAGAAGUGGCACCAUGGCCCCCAAACUCAUCACCGUCCUGUGUCUGGGAUUCUGCCUGAACCAGAAGAUCUGCCCACAUGCGGGUGCUCAGGACAAGUUCUCCCUGUCAGCCUGGCCGAGCCCUGUGGUUCCCCUAGGAGGACGUGUGACUCUCUCCUGUCAUUCCCAUCUUCGAUUUGUCAUAUGGACAAUAUUCCAAACAACUGGGACCCGAAGCCAUGAGUUGCACACUGGCCUUUCCAACAACAUCACCAUCAGCCCUGUGACCCCAGAACACGCAGGGACCUACAGAUGUGUUGGAAUUUACAAGCACGCCUCAAAGUGGUCAGCUGAGAGCAACUCCCUGAAGAUCAUCGUCACAGGCUUGUUCACAAAACCCUCCAUCUCAGCGCACCCAAGCUCCCUGGUGCAUGCAGGAGCCAGGGUGAGCCUGCGCUGUCACUCAGAACUGGCCUUUGAUGAAUUUAUCUUAUACAAAGAGGGGCACAUACAGCAUUCCCAGCAGCUUGACCAGGGGAUGGAGGCUGGGAUCCAUUACGUCGAGGCUGUCUUUUCCAUGGGUCCUGUAACGCCUGCCCAUGCAGGAGCCUACAGAUGCUGUGGUUGUUUCAGUCACUCCCGCUAUGAGUGGUCGGCUCCCAGUGACCCCCUGGACAUUGUGAUCACAGGAAAAUACAAAAAGCCUUCUCUCUCCACCCAGGUGGACCCCAUGAUGAGGCUGGGAGAGAAGUUGACCCUCUUCUGCAGCUCUGAAAUCUCAUUUGACCAGUACCAUCUGUUCAGACACGGGGUUGCUCAUGGACAGUGGCUCAGUGGAGGGCAGAGACACAGGGAAGCAUUCCAGGCCAACUUUUCUGUGGGCCGUGCAACGCCAGUCCCUGGCGGGACCUAUAGAUGCUAUGGUUCCUUCAAUGACUCUCCCUAUAAGCCCCCAGUGACCCGCUGCAACUUUACACCACAGGAAACACUAAGAGUACUCCUCUGUCAUUCACAGAAUCCACCCCUGAAUCUGACACCACCAUGGCAAACACAGAGCCCACGGAAGGCCAACGGACGGAUGAAGAGGAGCCUGCAGCAGAAGAGACACAGGAGAUCAUAUAUGCCCAGUUAAACCACCAGGCCCUCUCACAGACAGGAUUCCCUCCUGCCUCCCAGUGUCCCCACUACCUCUCGGAGGAUCCUAGUAUCUACAUCACUGUCCACCAAGCCCAGGCUGAGGCCAGAGCUGCCCCCAGUCUUUGGCACAAAGGGCAUUAAUACGCAAGGACCUGGAUCUAUUCCUAGGAGGAUUUUUUUUCCACGGACAUUCUUCCUCCUUCUGGUACCAUCUUGACACCUCGAAGCUGGCAACAGCAGUGUCUGAAUGCUUGUGGGAUUAUCUUAAAAUUCCAGCACUGCUGAACAGACAACUAGCCAUUCUACAAUUCUAUUUUGAGCAUCCAACCAUUUAAGGUGAUUUGACUCUACCCACACACUCAUCCUGGAUAUCUCAUUAAUAUCAUCUGAGUUAUCCUGAAACUCUACAGACAUGCUUCUGGAAAGCCGAUGUAUAUGCUCAGCCAGUUUAAUCUCUAAAUUACUCAAUAAGGUUUUUUUAAAAAAAUUUUUUUAAAGUUCUGGGGUACAUGCUCAGGAUGUGCAGGUUUGUUACGUAGGUAAACGUGUGCCAUGGUGGUUUGCUGCACCUAUCAAACCGUCACCUAGGUAUUAAGCCCAGCAGGCAUUAGCUCUCUUCCCUAAUGCUCUCCAUACCCCCUGCCCUCCUCUGACAGGCCCCAGUGAAUGUGUUCCCCUCCCUGUGUCCAUGUGUUCUCAUUGUUCAGCUCCCACUUAUAAGUGAAAACAUGCGGUGUCUGGUUUUCUGUUCCUGCAUUAGUUUGCUGAGGAUAAUGUCUUCUAGCUUCAUUCAUGUCUCUGCAAAUGAUAUGAUCUCAUUCCUUUUUAUGACUGCGUAGUAUUCCGUGGUGUAUAUGUACAACUUUAUUUUUAUCCAGUCUAUCAUUGAUGGGCAUUUGGGUUGAUUCCACGUCUUUGCUGUUACUCAACAAAAUUUUGCAGAGAUGAAGUGUAUUCUAUAUCUGAGUCAUCUAAUAUGGUAGCCACUAGCCAAAUAUGGCUUUUUAACUUAGAAUUAGAAUAGAUCAAAUUCCAUGAAGUUUAAAAUUCAGUUCCUCAGCCACAUGGCCACAAUUUGAGUUCUCAGAGCCACGUGUGGCUGCUGGCUGUGGGAGAGAAUAGCAUGAACACAAAAUGUUUUCCUUGUCAGAGGAAGUUCUAGCUGUUCUAGAUUAAAGGUGCAAAUUUGAAGAUGCAGAGCCUAUUUUCUCAUGCAGUGCAGGCUCCUGGAAGAGACCUAAUGUAACAAAACGAUAAUAUUUCACAUCAAUGGUGACAUGUCUUUAUCUUACGAAAUGCGGGGAACAAGCAGAGUUCUCUUGUGGAGUGUCUUAUCACCUCUUAUCCUCAUGCAAAUUUCUGCCAUAGAGAUUUUCUCCCAAACUUUGAGAAGGUCACCUCUGUCAGGCCUCUGAGCCCAAGCUAAGCCAUCCUAUCCCCUGUGACCUGCACGUACACAUCCAGAUGGCCUGAAGCAACUGAAGAUUCACAAAAGAAGUGAAAAUAGCCUUAACUGAUGACAUUCCACCACUGUGACUUGUUCCCGCCCCACUAACUGAUACCAUAUAUUCUGCCCCGCCCAAGAAGGUACUUUGUAAUAUUCCUCGCCCCCUUACCCCCCACCGCCCUGCCCCCGCUCGCCCGCCUUAAGAAGGUACUUUGUAAUAUUCUCCCCCACAACUUUAGAAGGUACUUUGUAAUAUUCUCCCCAACUUUAGAAGGUACUUUGUAAUAUUCUCCCCCACAACUUUAGAAGGUACUUUGUAAUAUUCUCCCCUCCCCUUAAGAAGGUACUUUGUAAUAUUCUCCCCCACAACUUUAGAAGGUACUUUGUAAUAUUCUCCCCUCCCCUUAAGAAGGUACUUCGAGGCUGGGUGCGGUGGCUCAUGUCUGUAAUCCCAGCACUCUGGGGGGCCGAGGUGGGUGGAUCACGAGGUCAGGAGAUCGAGACCAUCCUGGCUAAUGUGGUGAAACCCCGUCUCUACUAAAAAAAUACAAAACAAUUAGCUGGGCAUGGUGGCGGGUGCCUGUAGUCCCAGCCACUUGGGAGUCUGAGGCAGGAGAAUGGCGUGAACCCAGGAGGCAGAGCUUGCAGUGAGCUGAGAUCGCGCCACUGCACUCCAGCCUGGGCGAUAGAGCAAGACUCUGUCUCAAAAAAAAAAAAAAAAAAAAAAAAAAAAAGAA